UAAGACGAAGGAUGCAAGCGUUAUCCGGAUUCAUUGGGUUUAAAGGGAGCGUAGGUGGCCAAAUAAGUCAGUGGUGAAAUCCUGUUGCUUAACAACAGAAUUGCCAUUGAUACUGUAUGGCUUGAGUAUAGUUGCCGUUGGCGGAAUAUGACAUGUAGUGGUGAAAUACAUAGAGAUGUCAUAGAACACCGAUUGCGAAGGCAGCUGACGAAACUAUAACUGACACUGAGGCUCGAAAGUGCGGGGAUCAAACAGGAUUAGAUACCCUGGUAGUCCGCACUGUAAACGAUGAUUACUCGCUGCUGGAGGGCAACUUUCAGUGGCUUAGCAAAAGCGAUAAGUAAUCCACCUGGGGAGUACGCCGGCAACGGUG
rnacentral:rRNA from 1 species